CCUACGGGUGGCAGCAGUGAGGAAUAUUGGUCAAUGGGCUGACGCCUGAACCAGCCAAGUCGCGUGAGGGAAGACUGCCCUAUGGGUUGUAAACCUCUUUUGUCAGGGAGCAACGCCGGCUACGUGUAGCCGGACUGAGAGUACCUGAAGAAAAAGCAUCGGCUAACUCCGUGCCAGCAGCCGCGGUAAUACGGAGGAUGCGAGCUUUAUCCGGAUUUAUUGGGUUUAAAGGGUGCGUAGGCGGAAUGCCAAGUAAGCGGUAAAAUCGCGGGGCUCAACCUCGCUCCGCCGUUGAAACUGGCGGUCUUGAGUGGGCGAGAAGUAUGCGGAAUGCGUGGUGUAGCGGUGAAAUGCAUAGAUAUCACGCAGAACUCCGAUUGCGAAGGCAGCAUACCGGCGCCCAACUGACGCUGAAGCACGAAAGCGUGGGUAUCGAACAGGAUUAGAUACCCUAGUAGUC
rnacentral:rRNA from 1 species